UGGACCGCAGGCAGCCAGCCAAGGCGCUCAUUGGCUGCUCUUCGGAGACAAAGGUAAAAAUAUGCAAAUACGCCCAGCCCGGCGACCUGGUGUUGAACGAAGUCCUGGAGGAGCCGGAGCGGGUUUGCACCUUCCCGAUAUCGGUCUUGUUUUAUUUUUGCUUGAGGGGAAGAUUGCGGCUUCCUGAGAAGACAUUGGUCAUCCUGACAACCCAACUCUCACCGACGCACCUCCGUGCACACGUAUUAUCGAGGGAAGAAUGGGACUUCUGCUCAAAUGAAUAACUCUCAUCAUUCUCUCUUUCUCUCUCUCCCCUUUUGGUUAUCCAAAAAAAGCAAAGUCUGCUUCCAUUACACAGAAGCCAGCAGUCAAGGACAGGGAGAGCAGCUGACUUAGCACAAGACCAAGAGCACAAGGCUGGAGUGGCUUGUGAAAGUGUGGAAAGACCAAGAGAAUGAACUGUGUUGUGUUAUGGGAAUUCAGAUGCUGACCAGUGGAACUUUGUGAGUUAAAAGCUGUGUUCGGCAGCAAGACAGCUGGGAGAAAACUCACAGGUAUUCCAGUAUCAGGAACUGAGGAAAAAGAGAUCUCCUUCAGUCUGAAGAAACAUUUUUCCUUGAGCACUAUUUCAGGGACGAUAUUCAGAUAUUCUCUACCCUGGAACACUCACCAUGAGUGCGUUGGAUACAUCCCACUUCACUACUGAGAUCUCUCAGAAGACACCGGCUUCCCUAUAGGAUCCGCAUGCUCAGUGCAAACAUCUUCAGGAUGAAAGUCUAUGAAAAGCCUAUGGCCAACAUGGUUUCUUUCCUGCACAUCCAUGCUGAAUGUGUGGAAGCCUACUGUGAUACAUACAUAAUUAGACUGAUAUUGACAGAACAAAGAACUUAUUUAGAAUACUCAUGUGGUAACUGAUUUGGACCCACAAUGCUUGAAAUGGAGCUUAUAUUUUGCUCAUCUAUUGAGGGAAAGAGAAGGAUCAACAUGAGUCAAACUUAAUUCCUGAUGAUUACAUGAAUACAACCAUGGAGCUUUCCAGGGAACAGCACAAAAGUGGUUUGGCCAGGACUGCUGCCUGGGUUUUUAGAUAUUCAAAAUCCUUUGGAUUCUAUUCAAAGGUAAAUUAAUAUAAAACAGUCGUAGAAGGAAAAAUUUGCAUCUCCUCCUUUCUCCGGGAUCCACAUGGCUUACGAAGGUUCCAAUAAUCCUGGGAGACCCUGCAGAAGACAAAGUGUGACUGGAAACUUUCCAUCUGUUUAACUUUUUGAAGUUCUGUUAACUCAUAAUAUUUAAUGCCACAACAGGCAUCCAUUUAUUUCUACAUACUAGGAUUAAUUGCAUGCUUUGGAUUUUAUUUUUUCUCUCUACAGUUUUAAUAAUCUUCAGAUACCACAGAAUUACUAUUAAAUAUAUUUAAGGACAAAAACAUUAUUUAGAUAUAUACAGGAUUUAGUAUGUUUGAGUAAAAUUUUAUAUUUUAUCUUAAGCUGGAUUUCUUGUGUUCUGAAAAACUUACAAUAAUAAAAAUAAUGCUUAAAACCCUUAAGUUAACAAAAUUACAUGAUGCAAACUACUUAGCCUUUAUAGGGCAGAUAUCAAAAAUCACUAAAGGGUUUUAUUUUUGCCUUUCUGAAAUGUUAAUGUUUAGAGUUUUCUCUCUUAUGACAAUUUCCCCAAUACAAACAAUAUAAAUCCAAACCUAGUGUUCCUGAAAUCACGGAGGGGCCCAGUCAGAAUAGAUUCCCCCAAGCCUGCAAUUUAUUUUUUAAAAGCAUACAUGCAAGCCUUAAUUGUGCUCCAUCUAAUUUGGCUCUGAACAUAAUCCUAAACCUAAGUUUAGGCAAAGAAAAGAAGUUUUGAAUUAUGGCCACAGGAAUGAUUCAUUCCAUUGACAAGGAUUAGAUUUGUUGCAACUGAAAGUAAAAGGGUUCCCUGCCUUUAUUAGCCAGCAUCCCAGAACUGAGAGCCUUGCUUGGAAGUAUAUACUAAAGAAAGGAAAACUCAUUUGUA